GAUGAACGCUGCCAGAAUGCUUAACACAUCAGCCAUUGAUUGGUGGCGGACGGGUGAGUAACGCGUAAAGAACUUACCUCACAGUUAGGGACAACAUUUGGAAACGAAUGCUAAUACCUAAUACUUGGAGGGAGCUUUGCGUCGCAUUAGCUAGUUGGAGAGGUAACGGCUCACCAAGGCGAUGAUGGGUAGCCGGUCUGAGAGGGUGAUCGGACACCAGGGGACUGAGAGACGGCCCUUAUUCCUACGGGAGGCAGCAGUGGGGAAUAAUGGACAAUGGACCAAAGUCUGAUACAGCAAUUCUGUGUGCACGAUGAAGUUUUCGGAAUGUAAAGUGCUUUCAGUUGGGAAGCGGUACCAACAGAAGAAGUGACGGCUAAAUACGUGCCAGCAGCCGCGGUAAUUC
rnacentral:rRNA from 1 species